rnacentral:rRNA from 1 species
GCUGGCCUCACGGUCGAGCUCGCUCGUAAUGCAUUAGCAUCCGCAAUCGAACUUCGGAUUGACUUGGCGUAAUAGACUAUUCGCUGAGGAAUUCUAGUCUUCGGACUAGAGCCGGGUUGGAUUAAAGGAAGCUCCUAAUCCUAAUGUCUAUUUUUAAGAUUAGAUCUCAAAUCAGGUAGGACUACCCGCUGAACUUAAGCAUAUCAAUAAGCGGAGGAAAAGAAACUAACAAGGAUUCCCCUAGUAGCGGCGAGCGAAGCGGGAAGAGCUCAAAUUUAUAAUCUGGCACCUUCGGUGUCCGAGUUGUAAUCUCUAGAAGUGUUUUCCGCGUUGGACCGCACACAAGUCUGUUGGAAUACAGCGGCAUAGUGGUGAGACCCCCGUAUAUGGUGCGGACGCCCAACGCUUUGUGAUACACUUUCGAAGAGUCGAGUUGUUUGGGAAUGCAGCUCAAAUUGGGUGGUAAAUUCCAUCUAAAGCUAAAUAUUGGCGAGAGACCGAUAGCGAACAAGUACCGUGAGGGAAAGAUGAAAAGCACUUUGGAAAGAGAGUUAACAGUACGUGAAAUUGUUGGAAGGGAAACGCUUGAAGUCAGACUUGCUUGCCGAGCAAUCGGUUUGCAGGCCAGCAUCAGUUUUCUGGGGUGGAUAAUGGUAGAGAGAAGGUAGCAGUUUCGGCUGUGUUAUAGCUCUUUGCUGGAUACACCUUGGGGGACUGAGGAACGCAGUGUGCCUUACGGCGGAU